rnacentral:rRNA from 1 species
GAGGAACGCUGACAGAAUGCUUAACACAUGCAAGUCAACUUGAAUUUGGGUUUUUAACUUAGAUUUGGGUGGCGGACGGGUGAGUAACGCGUAAAGAACUUGCCUCACAGCUAGGGACAACAUUUAGAAAUGAAUGCUAAUACCUGAUAUUAUGAUUUUAAGGCAUCUUAGAAUUAUGAAAGCUAAGCACUGUGAGAGAGCUUUGCGUCCCAUUAGCUAGUUGGAGAGGUAACAGCUCACCAAGGCGAUGAUGGGUAGCCGGCCUGAGAGGGUGAACGGCCACAAGGGGACUGAGACACGGCCCUUACUCCUACGGGAGGCAGCAGUGGGGAAUAUUGGACAAUGGACCGAGAGUCUGAUCCAGCAAUUCUGUGUGCACGAUGAAGUUCUUCGGAAUGUAAAGUGCUUUCAGUUGGGAAGAAAUAAAUGACGGUACCAACAGAAGAAGUGACGGCUAAAUACGUGCCAGCAGCCGCGGUAAUACGUAUGUCACGAGCGUUAUCCGGAUUUAUUGGGCGUAAAGCGCGUCUAGGUGGUUAUGUAAGUCUGAUGUGAAAAUGCAGGGCUCAACUCUGUAUUGCGUUGGAAACUGUAUAACUAGAGUACUGGAGAGGUAAGCGGAACUACAAGUGUAGAGGUGAAAUUCGUAGAUAUUUGUAGGAAUGCCGAUGGGGAAGCCAGCUUACUGGACAGAUACUGACGCUAAAGCGCGAAAGCGUGGGUAGCAAACAGGAUUAGAUACCCUGGUAGUCC